rnacentral:lncRNA from 1 species
AAGCCCUUUGUUGAAAGCUCAAGGAAAUCAGAGCAGAAAACACCUGAACAAAAUCAUAGAGCAAUAAGUGAGUUGGAUGAUUUUUUUUUUCACUUAUUAUUUAUUUAAUAAUUCCUGAAAUUGGGUUCCACAACUGCCUACCAUGAUAAAUUUGUCUUCACUAUAAAUGAUUGAAAAAUUAAUUUAAUUAUUUUAUGGAUAUUCUUACAAGUGGUUUUGUAUCUGUGGUGUGGAUAUAGUAGAUCCUUUGAAAGCUGAAACUGCUCUGAAAACUUCAUUAGUAAGCGAAAAUAUGCAUAUAAUAUGAUGGCAACAUGUGUCGCAAUGUCACUGCCAUAUUUCUUGGCUUUAUUUUAUAGCCAUUAGCAUUAAUUACCCAUCACUCUUAUUGGUGGACCAACCACCGGCUCACCAUCUUGCUGUUUCUACUCUUUGCAGACAUAUUUCGUGCACACACUUAUUCCACCUUCUUCAAUAAUAGCAACACAAAUAUUUCUUAAAAUAACUUCAGUUUCGCUUUUUCAGUAUAUAUACAUAUAUAUUCAUGGCAGUCAUGAUGCAGUCAUUUAAAGUUUAUGGAGAUCUGUGUGCCCCUAUCACUAUCUCAUCCAUGAUUCUCAUCUAUAUAUAUAUAUACACACAUAUGUAUAUGCGCCCAUAGUUCGUACUGUUUUUCAGAAUGUUGUGUUAAUUCAAAGUAUCUCAAGUUGUGUGGUGAUCGGUGACGGAUGCUUAACGUUAUUAAGUAGAGUCCAAGAGCUUUUGAACUUUAACUAAUUAUAAGACUUAGGGUAUACGUAUGAGACUGUCAAACUUUGGUUAAUACCAACCUUUACUUUGGCUCUGUUUGGUAUUAUCUAUGUAGUGAUAUGACUUCUAGUUGUUGUGACUUGUGAGAUUAAUGUUAGUCAACCCAACUACGUUGAGUCCAACAGCUUUUGAACUGUAACCAAGUACAAGACUUAGAGGUAUAUAUGCUUGAGAUUGUCCUUAAAACUUAGUUGUUUCUGUAUAAUAACCUUGGCAAACCAAAAUCUUGAUUCCACAAGUAGUUUGCAAACUAACCAUCAUCAGAGAUAUGUUGGCCACUUUUUCAUAUAUUUGGCAUAUCGAUUAAGUCAUAUAAUUAAUGAUUUCAUUGAGCAUUAAGACUGUAAAUGCAUGUUAGCUAACUUUCAAAUGAGUCUGUAUAAGCGUCAAAAAUGUUAUUGCAACAACAUUUUUGAAAUUUUUUACAACAACAUGAAUUGAUUAAUCUACAGAUUUAGAAUAUAAUCUACAUGGAUUAAAAAUAUUAUAAUGUUUACAGAUUUACGUAUUUACUAGUAAUAAUUUAAAUUGUAUACUACACCCUUCGGCUUUUCUUACAAUUCUGUUCUUCUCUUUUUUGGUUUAUCUUUAUCUUUCUAAUGGAAAUUUAUCUAUGAGAUGGUGAUCCAGUAAUGAUAUUUGAAUUAGCCCUAGUCGUCUAAAUAUGAUAAUCCAGUUCAGUUCUGCUUAAUAUCAAUGAAUAAUGAUCUUACAGUCAAAUGUUUUUUCUUGUCAUGACAUAUCAUUAGAAAGAUACAUGCGUUGAAACUACAACGCUCAUUUUCAUGCGACUUACACAAAAUACUUUGAUUUUUGGCUUCAGUGAUUAGGAAACGUUAAAUUUUAUGCUCUAGAAUGAUAUAUGCUUACGCAUUUGCUUUUGAAAAAUGCAAGCUGUAUAUUUUGUUGAUGAAAAGACGUAUAUAUAAUUGGGUUGAAAUUAUUUAUGUGUGCGUAUGAAACUAAAUCUUAUUGGUCACAUCUCAGGCUCUUGAAGGAAACCAAUUGAAAUUAGAAGUAUCAUUCCAACACCACUGGCUUUUUCUCUUUAAUAGAAAAUUGCAACUCAAUUAAUGUUCAGAUUUUCUACUCUAGUUUCAAUGUUUGGAUCUCCUAUCUUUCAAUGUUAUUACCCUACUGUGAAAUGGAGACUUUGUAAGAUACAAAUAUUCUUUUUUUGUUUAUUUUUAUAUUUAAUAAAUAAGACUUCGUGCAUGUAAUUGCUAUAAGCAAUCCAUUUCAAUAGCAAAAGCCAUAUAAAUAUUCAGCAACGGGGUUGGGUAUAAUUUAUUUUUAUUUGAUUCAAAAAUUAAUUUUUACACAAAAUUCUAAUGGCAUAUUUAGGGUGCAUUUGGAAUAUAGGUGCUGUAACUUUUAAGGUGCACCUGCUGUGGAAAAAAAAAAGCUAUAAUUAUUAAACAAAAGUUAGUAAUAUCUAGUAAAUAUAAAAUUUAAAUAAUAAUUUUGAUAAAAUUAUUAAAAAUAUAAAAGAUUUUUCAUGAUACAAAUGAAAGACUUUAUUAAUAUAGCUUCUAAGGUACAACAGCUAGUGUUUAUCAAACAUUUUAGUGCUAUAGUUUGGAAGCUACAGCUGCGCAACCUCAAUUUCAAACGCAUCCUUAAUUAGAGAAAUGAAAAGAGAGAAAAGAAAAAAAAUAAAGGAAAAAUGAUAGAUUUCAUAUUAAACUAUUCUUUCCUCGUAUUCUCUCUUUCUCUCUCCUUUCCAUUCCUCUUCUCUCAUUUCUUCUUCCUACCAAAUAUGAGCUAAAUUCUGAAAGAAUUCUUAGCAAUGGAUAUGUUGCAGGCCCUCACAUUUGCUGGCGUACGUAGCAAACAAUCUGAUUUAACGUUACAGCUUCAACGAUUUGCUGCUGCCAGCACAAAAUUAGCACCUGCCCACACACAACCCCCCCCCCCCCCCCCCUCCAAACCAAAAAAGAAAAAGUUAGGAUAUGCCAACCACGUGAAAUGAUGAGUAGAAGAAUCAAAACAAUAUCCAAUGUUCUCUUCUCCAAAAAAAAAAAAAAUUCCUAUGUUCUAUCAACUCUUUAGGCUUUUAGCAAUAUAUUCUCACCAUUGUAGCUAUUCUUCAAUGUGAGAUGAUGAUCCCAUUUAACUCUGUUUAGUGGAAUGGCAUUUGGAUUAAACGAAAGUCUAGAAAUAAUGAUAUGUAAGUGUUGGUUUAAAAAUAGUUUUGCAGCAGAAAAUAUUUGGAUCACAAUUCUCAUACAAUAUAUAAAAUUAGCAUAAUGCAGAAAUCGUACCUUAACUUUUUCGUAGAAGUAAUUUAGCCUCCCAAAUCACGAUAUGUCACCACCAAUUUUGUUAGAUCACGAUCAUUUCCCAAAGAUCUUUCAGGUUAUAACUCAAGUUUGAUCUGUACUUGAUGUGUAGACGCUUUAUCAUUUGCUAACUCAAAUGAAAUGACAAUCACAAACAUAAAACUAUAAUUAACUCAAGAUUGAGAUUGCAAUAAAAUCAAUUCCUAUGAUAUUUAAUAAGUCUGACAAUCAUUUUAAAGUUAAUUAAAUCUCAUAUAUGAUUAUGUUCAUAAGUAAAUUCAUACAUGAUUAAGACAAAUCAUUCAAUAAAUUUAUUAUAGUGUAAACAUAAAUAAAAUGCUCAACUCUAUUUAUCAAUUGCGAACUCAAUUUAUUUAAUCAUAAGAUAACUUGUAUUUUAUAUCUUCUGUGAAUCCAUAUAAUGAUCACAUAAAAUACAUAUAAUAUGAUUAAACAUACAUGAUUCAAAAUACAAUUAAGAUAUUUGAUAAAAUAUUUCAAAUAUUUUAUUAAUUAGAUAAUAAAUGAUCAAUAUGUUUUAAAGAACACAUAAUCCCAGCAAUAUGACCUUAGACCAAAUUACAUGUUUGAUAUGUAUGAUGAUGAUCCCAUGUUCAUCACCUAAAAGCUGACUCUAGAAAUAAUCAUUUAAGAUGAUGAUCCCAUGGUCGAUUCUGUUGAUAUGUAUGACCUUAAGCCAAAUUACUUUUUUUUUCCCCUUCUCAUAUCAUUCAAAAGCUACAUGUUGAAAAUACAUACAUACAUACAUAUAUAUAUAAUACUUGAAAUUUUUGCUCUAGUGGUUAAGAAACAUAAUAUUCUUGCUCUGGCAUGGUAUAUUUGUAAUUGCGUUCUCUUGCGUAUCUCUACUUCCCCCGACGAAAAGACAGUAGAAACAUCCGUAGGUGGAAUAUAUGGAAAAUAUGAAAUAGAAUCAUAUUUGUCAGAAUUUAGGCCUUUUGGAGGAAAUUAAUAGAAGUUAAAAAGUUUUUAUUUCAUAAAGAAUCCAAUCUACAUUUGAAAAGAAAACCGAAUAAUCUACAUUUACAAGAGAAACGAAAUGGUUUCAUUCUCCAACUCACUGAUUUUUUUAUGAUCAGAGGAAGUUGAUUGAUCUUCUUUCUCAAUUUUAUCUACUUUUUUGUCAUGUCCAAUCUGGAUUUAACAUACAAAAGUGAUUUUUUUUUUUUCUUUUUGGAUUACACGAGACUAAUGCUUAGAUUACAACUCUUGUUAUAUGAGUUUACUAUUGAUUAGUAAGAUUAAUUUAUAUUAAAUAUAAUAUAUCACUACUCAUAUUUUAUUCUCUUUAAUAUUCGAGAAAUAUUUACUGUACUCACAUUUCAAAAACAGGAAGAAUGCAUUUACAACAAGUGAUGUUUAACUCUCGUAGAAGUUACUAGUUGCAUUUCAAAAACAGGAAGAAUGCAUUUACAACAAGUGAUGUUUAACUCUCGUAGAAGUUACUAGUUGCAUUGCUCAGCUCUUUUAAGUAACUAAUUAUUAACUACGCAGCAGACUGUAUAAUAAAUUUAUGACUUGCAAUCUUUACUUUUACUCGUGUAACAAAUAAAAGCCAAGGAGAGGUUGAUUAACGUCUACUGAUUUGUUAAAAAUAAUAAUAAUAAUAGCCCAAAAUUUUGCUAGGUAAUGCCAACCACGUCAAACGAUGAUUAAUUGAAAAAAAAAAGAAAGAAAAAAUUCCUCCCAACUUUGUGUCAAUUAGUUUCUAGCAAUUAUCACAAUAAUAAUAUCUUGUUUGUUAAAUAAAUUAUUUUGUGAUCCAAUUCAAAUCAACUAAAUAUGAAUGGGUUUUGGGAUGAACCAACUUUUUGCUUUUGUUAUCAUCGUAUAUCAUAAGAAGGCAAGUGUUGAUAAUACAACGUUCUUUUUUUAUGUUAUUACGCUGCACCAAACCAAAUACUUUGGAAUUUUGGCUCGAAUGGUGAAAGGAAACAUCAAAUUCAUGUUAUAGCAUAUGAUAAGUCAUCAAGAUGUGCACCUAGUUGUACCUAUAAUAAGUAUAAUAUACUUUCCGAUGUGUGAAAAAACUACUUGACUAAUGCACACUUCCAUAUGUAAAUAACUAUUUUUGACUGACAAAGUAUGAAAUUUUUCUUAGAGUUGCACUCGUUUGAUCUCUAAUGGCGUUGUCAAUUAGAGAAAAAUAUGAUAUGAGUGUGGGUAACAUAUAUAUAUA